UACAGAUGUCAAAGUCUCAACCUCAUGCUGCCUUCCCCCAUCCUCCUAAACCUGUGGAUACAAAUGCAGAUUUCCUUAAUGUUCAAUGGUGCGUGUUCUUCUAAUGGCCGCCUUCCCACUGGAGGUUUUGAUCCACAGCAAUUUAAAAGGAGGACAAAUCAAAACGGACAUCGGCGCAGAGUGAAGAACUGCCCUUCAUAAGGAUACUAUGACAGCCAUAUAUAUGGCGGUAAGGAAGAGGUUUCCCAAUGUGUCCAGAAGGGCUUUGAGGAUUGCAGUGAAAGCUGGGGGAACUGAGACUGCUGGAAAAGGAAAAGAAAUUACAUUUAAAGUAUGUUGACUUAUGUUCAUACAAUCACACACACAUAUACACAUACACACACACAUAUGUGUACAUAUAUAUA